AGUCGAACGGUGGGUAGCAAUACUCAUAGUGGCGCACGGGUGCGUAACACGUAACUAACCUACCUAUAACUGGGGGAUAGCCCGCCGAAAGGCGGAUUAAUACCGCAUAAGCUCUUUGGCUGGCAUCAGCUAAUUAGUAAAGAUUUAUUGGUUAUAGAUGGGGUUGCGGGUCAUUAGCUAGUUGGUUGGGUAACGGCUGACCAAGGCGACGAUGACUAGGGGAGCUGAGAGGCUGGUCCCCCACACGGGCACUGAGAUACGGGCCCGACUCCUACGGGAGGCAGCAGUAGGGAAUAUUGGGCAAUGGGCGAGAGCCUGACCCAGCCAUGCCGCGUGCAGGAAGAAGGCUUUCUGAGUCGUAAACUGCUUUUGACAGGGAGGAAUAAGCGCUACGUGUAGCGUGAUGACGGUACCUGCAGAAUAAGCACCGGCUAACUCCGUGCCAGCAGCCGCGGUAAUACGGAGGGUGCGAGCGUUGUCCGGAUUUAUUGGGUUUAAAGGGUGCGUAGGCGGCCUUAUAAGUCCGGGGUGAAAGCCCGUUGCUCAACAACGGAACUGCCCUGGAUACUGUGAGGCUUGAGUACAGACGAGGUUGGCGGAAUGGACCGAGUAGCGGUGAAAUGCAUAGAUACGGUCCAGAACCCCGAUUGCGAAGGCAGCUGACUAGGCUGUUACUGACGCUGAGGCACGACAGCGUGGGGAGCGAACAGGAUUAGAUACCCUGGUAGUCCACGCCGUAAACGAUGGAUACUCGCUGCGAGCUAAAGAUUGUUCGUGGCUUAGGGAAACCGAUAAGUAUCCCACCUGGGGAGUACGCCCGCAACGGUGAAACUCAAAGGAAUUGAC
rnacentral:rRNA from 1 species